rnacentral:rRNA from 1 species
UACGUAGGGGGCAAGCGUUGUCCGGAUUUAUUGGGCGUAAAGAGCGUGUAGGCGGCGAGGUAGGUCAGCUGUGAAAACUCGAGGCUCAACCUCGAGAUGUCGGCUGAAACCAUCUGGCUAGAGUCCGGAAGAGGAGAAUGGAAUUCCCGGUGUAGCGGUGAAAUGCGCAGAUAUCGGGAAGAACACCCGUGGCGAAGGCGGUUCUCUGGGACGGUACUGACGCUGAGACGCGAAAGCGUGGGGAGCGAACAGG